AGUGCGGCCUGCCUACCUGCAAGUCGAACGCAAGUAGCAAUACUUGAGUGGCGCACGGGUGAGGAACACGUAGCUGAUCGGCCCCCAAGUGCGGGAUAACACCCUGAAAAGGGCGCUAAUACCGCAUAAGCUCACGAGCUUUAGAGGCUUGUGAGAAAAGGCUUGCUGCUUGGGGACGAGGCUGCGGCCCAUCAGCUGGAUGGUGAGGUAAGAGCUUACCAUGGCGACGACGGGUAGGGGACCUGAGAGGGUGACCCCCCACACUGGGACUGAGACACGGCCCAGACUCCUACGGGAGGCAGCAGUGAGGGAUCUUGCACAAUGGGCGAAAGCCUGAUGCAGCGACGCCGCGUGAGCGAAGAAGGCCUUCGGGUCGUAAAGCUCUUUUCUGCGUGACGAGCAAGGACGGUAGCGCAGGAAGAAGUCUCGGCUAACUACGUGCCAGCAGCCGCGGUAAAACGUAGGAGACAAACGUUAUCCGGAGUUACUGGGCGUAAAGGGCGUGCAGGUGGUCAUUUAAGUUCGGCGUGAAAGCUCCUGGCUAAACCGGGAGAGGUCGUCGGAGACUGGAUGGCUAGAGGGUGAUAGAGGCGGGUGGAAUUCCGGGUGUAGUGGUGAAAUGCGUAGAGAUCCGGAGGAACACCAGUGGCGAAGGCGACCCGCUGGGUCACACCUGACACUGAGACGCGACAGCAUGGGGAGCGAACGGGAUUAGAAACCCCGGUAGUCCAUGCCGUAAACGAUGCCAACUCGAUGUCUGGGAUGGGAAACUGUCCUGGGUAUCUCAGCC
rnacentral:rRNA from 1 species